rnacentral:tRNA from 1 species
UCCCUGGUGGCUCAGACGAUAAAGCAUCUGCCUACAAUGCAGGAGACCUGGGUUCAAUUCCUAGGUUGGGAA